CCCUUAGAUGUUCUGGGCCGCACGCGCGCUACACUGAAGGGAUCAGCGUGUUUUCCCUUCCCGAGAGGGACGGGUAACCCGCUGAACCCCCUUCGUGGUAGGGAUCGGAGCUUGCAAUUGUUCUCCGUGAACCAGGAAUUCCCAGUAAGCGCAAGUCAUAAGCUUGCGUUGAUUACGUCCCUGCCCUUUGUACACACCGUCCGUCGCUACUACCGAUUGAACGUUUUAGUGAGGUAUUUGGACUGGGCCUUGGGAGGUUUCGGCCUCCCUUGUUGCUCGGAAAGACUCCCAAACUUGAGCGUUUAGAGGAAGUAAAAGUCGUAACA
rnacentral:rRNA from 1 species